CAGUGGCAGCUGAGGCCGCUGUCACCGGCUGUGUCAAUUGCGAACAUUGCGACGAUUGCGAGUGUGUUAGGUGAAAUACAUGUGUACGUGUGGAAUGAACAAAAACUGAAGAGGAUUGUAUUUUAUUUUGGCUAUUGGUGAUAAAUGGCAGACAACUUGGGUAUUUUGUCCAUUCUGGAAUGUCCAGUCUGUUUUGAAUAUAUCAUCCCACCGAUAUACCAGUGCCAUAAUCAGCAUCUGAUUUGUUUCAACUGUCAAAAGAAACAGACACACUGUCCUGUCUGCCGAGUCAAGUUGCAAAAUGAACGAAAUCUGUGCAUGGAGAAAGUAACAGAAUAUAUUUCUUAUCCGUGCAAGUAUGAAGGCGAUGGCUGCAAUGUAACACUCUCUGUGUGUGAAAAGGAAAACCAUGAGCGGGCCUGUCUUACAAAGGGACAGCACCACUGUUCCCUACUAACAACAGAGGGAAAUGUUUCACAGUGUGACUGGAUUGGCCCAUUUGGAGAAGCUGAUAGUCAUAUAAGACAGAAGCAUAGCCAUUUGAUUAAAAAUUCACUUGAUGGUUCUUUCAGGUUUUGUUCAUCUGAACUGAGGAAUUACCAGUAUUAUAUUUUAUUUGAUGAUAACCUUUUCUGUGCACUAAUACAUACAGAUCCAUUAAGGACUUCCUCUGUCCAUAAGAUAUUCACAUGUUUCUUCCACAUUGUUAGUAUAACUUCCGGGCAAGAAAACUGCUAUGCAUAUAGUGUGAAAAUUGAAGGACGGGAUGAUACAUUUGAAGGAUUUGUUGGAAAGAUUAUCACUCAUGCAGAUAUAAAAAAUGUGGCUAGUAGACGGGAAUGCCUUCAUUUUAUGGGAAGAAAUCACAUUUUUGUACUUCAAGGGAACAUUGUAAAACUGUAAUAAAAACAGAUUCUUAAGUACCUCUAAGCAUUGAUAUCAAAAUUUGAAACCGUUUUUACACUUUCCAGACUGAUAAUGCUGGCAUCUUGAUUUUAUACAUUGGAAAUGUUGCCUCAGUUAAAAUGAUUAGGAAUUAUUUUUAUAACAAUGCAUCAUGUUAAAUUUGAGGUUCUUAUGAUUGUAACUGUAGAGAUUGUCUUCUGAAUCAUGACACCAUGUAGUUUGGUACAUCAAUACCAAUGUUUCAUAGGAACUUGCUGCUUCAGUCUUCUACUAUGAAGAUGGAGGCAAGUUCCUCUGGAACAUUGAUGUUGAUCCACCAAACUACAUGGUGUCACAUUCCAGGAAUCACACUAAUCCUCAGAAUUUGUGUGUUUAUAUUGUAAUAUGAAUAAACUUAGAAAUUGCAACAAUUUGUAAGGUGGGAAUUUUUUAUGUUUUUUAACCCACCUAGUUACGAAUAUAAAAUUGGUACAGAAGAAUCCAGCGCUGCUUUUACAAAGAUGGUGGACAAACUAUAUUUUGCUUAGAAGCAGACAGUAGUACACAAGAGUCUGCUAUAUGCACAAAUGUCUGGUGUUACUGCCAUUCAGAUGGGUCAGUGGCUAAUCAUAUUUGCCUACAUUACACAUAAUUUCCAGUUGGCUUGUUAUUUAAACUUUUAUGUUCACUUUGUGUAAGUAGCAUAAAUGUAUGAAAUGCAUGAUGAAUGUGAAAUAAAUUUAAUUUAUCACUUAAAUAUUACUUCUCUGUUCUCAUGAUAUUUUUGUGGUUCCCAAAAGUCACUGCAUCAUAUUCUUAAAGACAUUUUCAGCAUGGGCCAAAGAGUGGAAUGCUAUCCAAUGGGGCAACCAUGUGGCUAUGUAACAAGACAAAACUGAAAGUUUUCUUUAAGGCAGUCAACUACUUGGUGAAGAAGCUGAUGAAAAUUCAGUGACCACAGGGAUAGGAAGUUUCUGUGCCCCUCCAUCAGUCCACAUGGGUGAUGUCUAGCGUUUGGGUGGUUGGUUUGGAGAGGGCAGAGGUGAAGCCAGGCUCUCCUAAGUCUGCAUUCAUCUUCAGGAUUGAAAUUAUGAAAGUGUGCACAAACUAA